rnacentral:lncRNA from 1 species
UGGGUCUAACUCUAGGUGCAUCAUUGAUUGAACCAUCUCAUGGUCAAUUUAAAUAUUCCUCCACUCUCCAAUUGCCUAGUAGUCUAGUCUUCAUUUUCAUGAAGUCUACCAUGAAUACUUAAUCUUUAUUUAAAAAUAGAAAGAAAUAAUUUUUAUCUAUUCUUAAAUAAUUUUUUUUUAUAAUUUUAUAUCAACAUGUA